GACGAACGCUGGCGGCGUGCCUAAUACAUGCAAGUUGAGCGCUGAAGGUUGGUACUUGUACCGACUGGAUGAGCAGCGAACGGGUGAGUAACGCGUGGGGAAUCUGCCUUUGAGCGGGGGACAACAUUUGGAAACGAAUGCUAAUACCGCAUAAAAACUUUAAACACAAGUUUUAAGUUUGAAAGAUGCAAUUGCAUCACUCAAAGAUGAUCCCGCGUUGUAUUAGCUAGUUGGUGAGGUAAAGGCUCACCAAGGCGAUGAUACAUAGCCGACCUGAGAGGGUGAUCGGCCACAUUGGGACUGAGACACGGCCCAAACUCCUACGGGAGGCAGCAGUAGGGAAUCUUCGGCAAUGGACGAAAGUCUGACCGAGCAACGCCGCGUGAGUGAAGAAGGUUUUCGGAUCGUAAAACUCUGUUAGUAGAGAAGAACGUUGGUGAGAGUGGCAAGCUCAUCAAGUGACGGUAACUACACAGAAAGGGACGGCUAACUACGUG
rnacentral:rRNA from 1 species